UACGUAGGGUGCAAGCGUUAAUCGGAAUUACUGGGCGUAAAGCGUGCGCAGGCGGCUUGCAAGACAGAUGUGAAAUCCCCGGGCUUAACCUGGGAACUGCAUUUGUGACUGCAUGGCUGGAGUGCGGCAGAGGGGGAUGGAAUUCCGCGUGUAGCAGUGAAAUGCGUAGAUAUGCGGAGGAACACCGAUGGCGAAGGCAAUCCCUGGGCCUGCACUGACGCUCAUGCACGAAAGCGUGGGGAGCAAACAGG
rnacentral:rRNA from 1 species